UACGUAGGGGGCAAGCGUUGUCCGGAAUUAUUGGGCGUAAAGAGCUCGUAGGCGGUUUGUCGCGUCGGCCGUGAAAACUUGGGGCUUAACCCCAAGCCUGCGGUCGAUACGGGCAGACUUGAGUUCGGCAGGGGAGACUGGAAUUCCUGGUGUAGCGGUGAAAUGACGCAGAUAUCAGGAGGAACACCGGUGGCGAAGGCGGGUCUCUGGGCCGAUACUGACGCUGAGGAGCGAAAGCGUGGGGAGCAAACAGG
rnacentral:rRNA from 1 species